rnacentral:lncRNA from 1 species
GUAAGUCAGUGUGGGCAAAGAGCAAAACCAAGAAAACAUUGAAAUCAGGGUAAAGCGUGAAGGAAUUAUUUCAUUUCGUGGAUCAGUAUCGUGAGCUUUCUGAGGAGCCUUACUAAAAUGGAUUAUGAGAGUAAGCAAGUUAGGAGCUGUGUCUAUGGUUUUGAAUGCCGGAGAGUGGAAGAACAUGUUUGGGUUAAUAGAGGAUUCACAGCUCACUAUGGAACAAUCACAGAUAGCUAUAGGUGAUCCACACACAAAGCAGGUUAUUCCCAAAGGAACAGCCAGCCUGGUGGACUGGAUAAAAGCCACUGUAAGGUCUGUUUACCUUGAGAAAGGGGACUGCCCAACUCCCCCUAUAAAUUAGAAGUGGAACACCCCAGAUGAAGUAGCUGACAUGUUUCGUAUGCAAGACAUGUGGGACUGGCUUUAUGGUGACUGGGAUAUUCGUCCACUGAAUAUGCCCGUUACCCAGGUCAUGGUAAAUGCUGUGGUUAAGGGGGCCCCUUUCACAUGGGCACCCCAUAUAACCCAGCUGCUGCAAAACCAAAAAAUGGUUUGGGAAGCCUUUUUGAAUUUGCUAUCUGGGCUUCCCCUCAUGGGCCUUACAGAUACUAAUAAAAACAUUAGGUUAAUUAGCAAGAGACUGAGGGAUGAGUCAAGGGACUCUUCCCAACAAGGUGGGAAUUUUUAUAAAGUUAUUAAGAAAUAAGGUGACUAAAGCAAAUUUUUUUUAAUUUUUUUUUAAGAUUUUAUUUUUUUCCUUUUUCUCCCCAAAGCCCCCUGGUACAUAGUUGUAUAUUCUUCAUUGUGGGUCCUUCUAGUUGUGGCAUGUGGGACGCUGCCUCAGCGUGGUUUGAUGAAAGGUGCCAUGUCCGCGCCCAGGAUUCGAACCAACGAAACACUGGGCCGCCUGCAGCGGAGCGCGUGAACUUAACCACUUGGCCACGGGGCCAGCCCCUAAAGCAAAUUUUGGACUGUCUCUGGAACCGUGUGAGGAACUGCUGGAUUCUGUUGUCUCUUGGACAGUCCCCUAUAAUGAGCCCUCACCUGAUUGACAAUGAGCUGCUUGGUUUGUGGACAUCAGUUCCAGGGUGAAUGGACAAUAUCCUGUUGGGAAGGCCACCAUUCUGAAAGAAGAAGGUAAAAACAUCAGCAUGGUGUGCUGAAUUGCCUGCUGUUUUCCUAGUGGUGCUGGAAGA